UGGGGAAUUUUGGACAAUGGGCGAAAGCCUGAUCCAGCAAUGCCGCGUGUGUGAAGAAGGCCUUCGGGUUGUAAAGCACUUUUGUCCGGAAAGAAAUCCUUGGCUCUAAUACAGUCGGGGGAUGACGGUACCGGAAGAAUAAGCACCGGCUAACUACGUGCCAGCAGCCGCGGUAAUACGUAGGGUGCAAGCGUUAAUCGGAAUUACUGGGCGUAAAGCGUGCGCAGGCGGUUUGCUAAGACCGAUGUGAAAUCCCCGGGCUCAACCUGGGAACUGCAUUGGUGACUGGCAGGCUAGAGUAUGGCAGAGGGGGGUAGAAUUCCACGUNUAGCAGUGAAAUGCGUAGAGAUGUGGAGGAAUACCGAUGGCGAAGGCAGCCCCCUGGGCAAGUACUGACGCUCAUGCACGAAAGCGUGGGGAGCAAACNGGAUUAGAUACCCUGGUAGUCCACGCCCUAAA
rnacentral:rRNA from 1 species